UAGGGGUCCUACCAGAUUACCAAACCCAAUCAAACUCCGAAUGCCGUUGAGUCAGAGUCCGGGAGACAGACUGCGGGGGAUAAGCUCCGUAGUCGAGAGGGAAAGAGCCCAGACCGUCAGCUAAGGUCCCUAAGUUAAUGCUAAGUGGGAAAGGAUGUGUGGGCGCUCAGACAGCCAGGAGGUUGGCUUAGAAGCAGCCAUCCUUUAAAGAAAGCGUAAUAGCUCACUGGUCGAGUGAACACGCGCCGAAAAUGUACCGGGGCUCAAGCAUUACACCGAAGCUACGGACAGCGAUCAUCGGUUCGCCGAUGGGGCUGUGGUAGAGGAGCAUUCUAUAGCGUCGAAGCGUGACCGGCGAGGACACGUGGAGCGAACAGAAGAGAGUAUGCAGGCAUAAGUAGCGAUAAAGCAGGUGAAAAUCCUGCUCCCCGAAAGCCUAAGGUUUCCUGAGUAAAGUAAAUCUUCUCAGGGUUAGUCGGCCCCUAAGACGAGGCUGAGACGCGUAGUCGAUGGGAACCAGGUUAACAUUCCUGGACCGCUGAUAGAGUGUUUGAAUCGAGGAGUGACGGAGAAGGGACGGCAAGCCGGAUAUUGGUUACCGGUUCAACCGUGUAGGUGGGGGGAUGAGGCAAAUCCCAGCCCCCAUUAACACUGAGACGGGAGUACGAGAGCUUCGGCUCACAAAGUUGUCUAACCCCAGGCUUCCAAGAAAAGCUUCGUUCGAUGAAUUCUAUCUGCGACCGUACCUCAAACCGACACAGGUAGGCGAGGUGAGUAUCCAAAGGGGCUUGGGAUAACUCUGGUUAAGGAACUCGGCAAAUUGACACCGUAACUUCGGGAGAAGGUGUGCCCCCGGUAGGUGAAGGGAUUUACUCCUGGAGCUGGAAGGGGUUGCAGAGAACAGGUGGUAGCGACUGUUUACCAAAAACACAGGACUAUGCAAACUCGCGAGAGGAUGUAUAUGGUCUGACGCCUGCCCGGUGCCGGAACGUUAAGGGGCGUUGUUAGUCUUCGGACGAAGCAGCAAACCGAAGCGCCGGUAAACGGCGGCCGUAACUAUAACGGUCCUAAGGUAGCGAAAUUCCUUGUCGGGUAAGUUCCGACCUGCAUGAAUGGCGUAACGACUUCCACACUGUCUCAACCAGGGACCCAGCGAAUUUGUAAAGGCGGUGAAAAUGCCGUCUACCCGCGGAAAGACGGAAAGACCCUGUGAAGCUUUACUGCAACUUGGCACUGAGCUUUGGGAAUAUUUGUGUAGGAUAGGUGGGAGACUUUGAAGCAGGCGCGCUAGCCCCUGUGGAGUCAACCUUGAAAUACCACCCUGAUGUUUCUGGAGCUCUAACUCUGGACCGUAAUCCGGUUCGAGGACAGUGUCUGGUGGGUAGUUUGACUGGGGCGGUCGCCUCCCAAAAUGUAACGGAGGCGUACAAAGGUUCCCUCAGGCCGAUUGGAAACCGGCCGUAGAGUGCAAUGGUAUAAGGGAGCUUAACUGCGAGACCGACGGGUCAAGCAGGUGGGAAACCAGGUCAUAGUGAUCCGGUAGUUCUGUAUGGAAGGGCUAUCGCUCAUCGGAUAAAAGCUACUCCGGGGAUAACAGGCUUAUCUCCCCCAAGAGUCCACAUCGACGGGGAGGUUUGGCACCUCGAUGUCGGCUCGUCACAUCCUGGGGCUGGAGCAGGUCCCAAGGGUUCGGCUGUUCGCCGAUUAAAGUGGCACGCGAGCUGGGUUCAGAACGUCGUGAGACAGUUCGGUCCCUAUCUUCCGUGGGUGCAAGAGAUUUGAGAGGAUCUGUCCCUAGUACGAGAGGACCGGGAUGGACCAACCUCUGGUGUUCCAGUUGUCACUCCAGUGGCAGUGGCUGGGUAGCUAUGUUGGGAAUGGAUAACCGCUGAAAGCAUCUAAGCGGGAAACCAACCUCAAAACGAGAUCUCUCUGGGGCGCUUCGGCGUCCCCUGUAGGCCACUCGGAGACUACGAGUUUGAUAGGCGGGAUGUGUAAGUGCAGCAAUGUAUUCAGCUUACCCGUACUAAUCGGCCGUGAGGCUUACCAUA
rnacentral:rRNA from 1 species